rnacentral:tRNA from 1 species
GGCGGGUGAGGGUGCUGGUGUGCCCGGCUGUUUCAUACGCAGCUCCAGGCGGGUUCGAUCCCCGCACCCGCCA